UACGUAGGGGGCAAGCGUUGUCCGGAUUCAUUGGGCGUAAAGAGCGUGUAGGCGGCCAGGUAGGUCGGUUGUGAAAACUGGAGGCUCAACCUUCAGAGGUCGACCGAAACCAUCUGGCUAGAGUCCGGGAGAGGAGAGUAGAAUUCCUGGUGUAGCGGUGAAAUGCGCAGAUAUCAGGAAGAACACCGGUGGCGAAGGCGACAUCCUGGACCGGUAUUGACGCUGAGGCGCGAAAGCCAGGGGAGCAAACGGG
rnacentral:rRNA from 1 species